UGUCUGUCCUGGUGGAUCGUGCAGGAGACUGCUCCCAAAUCCAAUUAAUUCCUUCUGGAUGCAUUCAUUUGUCUAGUACAUCUGACGAGAAAGAGAGCCAGAAAAAGAGGUAGAGAGACCCCUAAGGUACAGUAUUUAGUGUGUAUCAAUUUACGCCCUAUUCCACAAGAGACAUUGGUAAUUAUUUCCAUCUCUCUCUCUGUCAGGGGAGCAGGGUCGUCUCCAGCUUUCCUCUGACAUGUCGGGCUGGGUAAUGAGAAAGAUAAGGCAUGGUCAUUACACACGCCAUCCCAAAGAUGAGACGCUGGCCCCCAGAUGGCCGCAAUCAGCCUGACACCACACUGGGAAUAUUAUGUGAGGUGUGUUUGAGGUGUCCCCGUUUUUAGUAAAAAACAAAAGAAGUCCAGUCACCCCUAGAGUCUGAUGGAUCCUGGGAGAUAAUAAAAAAUCAACUGCUUCACUACUUUUGUAAGUUUGACAAAGAUCAAAUCUGCUUGAAAUACAGACAAAAACAAACAAGCAAAAGUACAGUUCUGUGAGUCUGCUGUAAUAAAAUUAGACUGAGGUUUGAUAGGAAAUUAAUUUCCUAUCAAACUUCACCUGGAUCCAACUGGAUUUUUCUGUGUUAUCUCUGAAAUGUCUAACUCAAAAUACUUCUAAUACAUAAUGUGUUUUGUUUCCCCUGCAAUAAAAAUAACAUACGUUUUUCAGCUAGUGUAGCCUACUCAAGUACAAGUUUUAGGUCAUGUACUUAAGUAUAUCCAGAUUCUGUUGAUUAUACUAACACUUGAUUAUACUUACUAGACUAUACUUACAAUUCUACUCCACUACAAUUCAAAAAGCAAAACAUAAUACCCAUACAGUAUUUGCAUAACUUUGUGUUUCCCCUUUUCUCUCCCAUCUCUUCACCCCUCAUGUACAUUUUGUGACCCUUUGGAGGGACCCGACCCCUAUGUUGGGCAAACAAAAUCAUUAAACUACCUAUCUGUAUGUAAGGUACGUAUGUAACAACUCACCUGUAACUCAUCUUACAAAAUCAUACAAUAACACAUCAGUUACAAGGACAAUAUUUCUGCAGAGCACUUUUACCUGAAGUGCAUUUUCCUAAUAAUAUUAUUUAUGUUUGCUUAAAUAUAUUUAAAAUGCAAGACUUUAACUUGUAACGGGCUGGUUUUAGAUUGCUGCAUGGGUUGUUUUACAGAAACAAAGGAUCUGAAUACAUUCCCCUGUGUUCAACAAUAGUAACUUACUUCUGCUUAAUGAAAAUAUAAUACGUUCUUCCCAUGCCAUCUGAGGUUAUCCCUGUUUACAGCAGCCACGACGUUUGGGUGUAUUUGCACAGUGUGGGAGCAGGAAAGGGUUUAAUUUAUACUGUUACUACACAAGUAGCACAUCUGAGUCCCCAAGAAUAUAACAGCGAUAACAUACUGUAUAAGAUAAACAUACCAUAAAGUGAGAAGAGACCACUGCUCACUGCUGAGCUGAUACAUUACAAGUCCCUGGGAGGAUAUUGUUGGAAUAAUAUAGAAUAUUAUACUGAUAAGAGAGGAGAUAGAAAUACCAUUAAGUCCAUAUAAACGAGCCUCUGAACAUCAGAGACGUCCUCACAGUCCCUACAGGGACAAUAUUGAAGCUUUAUUGUGUUUUUUUUGUCGCACGCUGCCGGUGAAGUUGAAGGCGGGACACAAAGUCAUAAGGCAUGCACAGACAAAGAAAUAUACAAACACCGCUGUCAUGGCAUGCGCUCCAACUUUGUUUCAUUCAUUUCGACCAGUUGCGCUGCCGCCGUCUUUGCAGAUUUGGAGGGUCGAAUAAAAAACCCAGAGAGCAGGAAAGUAAUCUUCCCAUAGAAGUUUGGAGCUAAAAAGUUUGAGGAGUGAGACUUUAAGUUUUCCUGAGUGUGUCGGCGUUUUGAGUGGAGACAAAGGAACAGGAGCUGCACCCGUGAUGUCAAUGCACAAGGUUCGGAAAAAGUGGACCCAGCGAGAGUUGGAAGGAAGCGGGACUUUGGCAGGUUGACUCGCCCUCAAAGCCAUGAGACCCUCCCUUGCCUCGGAGGCCAGGCAGCCUCCCUGCAAGGCAGCUCCAGGAAACAUAGUGAAUCGGUGGCCGCUACGUGCAUACAUUAACUGUGAUGCAGAGGCUAACGUGGAGGGUGAAAAGUAUGCAAUUCGCUCACAAGGACAGCAGAUGGAGAGGAAGUUGUCUAUCGCGGCCAUGACAGUAUAGGCAGGUAGCCCUCUCUAUGGCAAACACAAAGACGCCAACAAUAGAUUCGUCUGUCAGACUCUGACGAGCAGAGGAGAGGAAAAAGGCUCCUUUAUGCUUUGUUGUGUACAACAAUAAUCAGUGUGGCACAGAAGAGGAGUAGGUAAAGAUGAGCGUAAAGAAAUGUGUGAGCAGUGUUUUCCAAGGACAGAUAAAUAGAUUGAAAAGGACUUGUGAACAUAAGUGAAAUAUAUCACAUUAAUUAUUUUCAAUGUAUUUGUUUUUUUUAUUUAUGCAUGCAUUGUACUGUGCACGUGUGUGUAUGUGUGCGAGCAGAAGUGUGUGUUAAAAGCAGGCCUAAGGGGAAUGAAAUUCUAGUCAGUGAGCUCCAUGCCAGAGCUAAAUUACACAAGCCAUCCAUGAUUUCAUGCUUCACUACAUUACUUCUCCUUUUUCCUCUGCUCUCUGCACCCUCUCCCCUCCUCUCUCUGUCUCAUUUACCUCUGCUUUAACCCCGCAUGGAUCUUAUCUGGUUAAAGAGCAAAAAGAGGUGAACCACACAGCCAUGCGGCAUGAAUAUUUCAUCUGUGUUUGGAUUACCAUUUUCUCCAAAGAUUCAUUGUUCAAUGUAUAAUACAUGCAGCAUCGCACCUCGGCGCCUAGAUCACAACCUCUGCCCUUCUAAUCACAGGCAAAGCAUGCCCUCACCUAAGCCCAUCUUGCCAACAGUGUGUGUGCAUGUGUGUAUCCCUGUGUCCAUGUGUGAGUUAGGAUGGUGGGUUCUGUGUAGGUGGAUGCCUGUGUACAGUAAGUGCAUGUAUGCUGACAGACUUGUAGUUUUGUGUGAUCGCACGUAUGAGCGCGCGCGUGUGUGUGUGUGUGUACGGAGCCAGGGGUUAGAGCGAGGCUAAGACCGGCUCAUCUUUCAAACACACACACACACACAGUCCUCUACCCUCAGGCUGGAUUAGAUGAUGAGGUGGGAGAGUGAGUGAGAUUGGAAAGGAAAGUAAAAAAAUGUGUUGGUAGGAGGGAGAAAGAGAGUGAGUAACAGAUUAGGAGAGAAAUUCGAGUCUUUUGGCUGCUGGCGCGGCUCCAGCUUUAAGUUGCAGCUGUAAUAUUCUUUCAAAUGAUCUACCUCCUUUUGGAUAUACUCCAGUGUGUGUGUGAUUUUGUCCGACCUACACCAUUUGGCUGUUUAAGGGCUCGCUUUUCCCGUCAUCUCCUCCCAUCUUUCUAUCGCUAAAUGAGCAGUGAAUAGAGAAGCAGCAGAGGCUGUAUAGAUUUGAAUGGCUCACUCGGUGGGUGUCUGAUGGAGAAAAUGGGUGCAUGAGCUAUUCUGACCUAAACCACCCGUAUCUCUUCAAAGCCGUAGAAAUGGGCUCUUUUAAAUGUAUAGUUUCUCCAAAAUUACCAUACAAGUAAUUCAAAACAGUGAGGCUCAGGCAGACAGCGACUAUCUCAAGAGCAUUUGACCCGAGUGUAUCUGAAAAAUCUCAGCACAUUUAUCUUU